rnacentral:rRNA from 1 species
UACGUAGGGGGCAAGCGUUGUCCGGAAUCAUUGGGCGUAAAGAGCGUGUAGGCGGCCAGAUAAGUCCGCUGUGAAAUCUCGAGGCUCAACUUCGAGCUGUCGGUGGAAACUGUCUGGCUAGAGUCCGGAAGAGGAGAAUGGAAUUUACGGUGUAGCGGUGAAAUGCGUAGAUAUCGUAAGGAAGACCAGUGGCGAAGGCGGGUCUCUGGACAGUUCCUGACGCUGAGGCACGAAGGUCAGGGGAGCAAACGGG